rnacentral:tRNA from 1 species
UGGCUGAGUGGUAAAGCGCUUGGCUUCUGAACCAGGAGACCCGGGUUCAAAUCCUGG